CGGGGUGUAGCUCAGCCUGGGAGAGCACUAGUUUUGGGAACUAGGGGUCGGAGGUUCAAAUCCUCUCACCCCGACCA
rnacentral:tRNA from 1 species